CAAAAAGUAGCUUAAACAAAGCACUCGACUAACAACCGAACUAUAUCGCUAUCGAUCUUUUUGA
rnacentral:tRNA from 1 species